UACGUAGGUCCCAAGCGUUGUCCGGAUUUAUUGGGCGUAAAGCGAGCGCAGGUGGUUUAUUAAGUCUGGUGUAAAAGGCAGUGGCUCAACCAUUGUAUGCAUUGGAAACUGGUAGACUUGAGUGCAGGGGAGGAGAGUGGAAUUCCAUGUGUAGCGGUGAAAUGCGUAGAUAUAUGGAGGAACACCGGUGGCGAAAGCGGCUCUCUGGCCUGUAACUGACACUGAGGCUCGAAAGCGUGGGGAGCAAACAGG
rnacentral:rRNA from 1 species